UGGGGAAUAUUGCACAAUGGGCGAAAGCCUGAUGCAGCAACGCCGCGUGAGCGAUGAAGGCCUUCGGGUCGUAAAGCUCUGUCCUCAAGGAAGAUAAUGACGGUACUUGAGGAGGAAGCCCCGGCUAACUACGUGCCAGCAGCCGCGGUAAUACGUAGGGGGCGAGCGUUAUCCGGAAUUAUUGGGCGUAAAGAGUGCGUAGGUGGUCUUGUAAGCGUGGGGUGAAAGGCAGUGGCUUAACCAUUGUUAGCCUUGCGAACUGUGAGACUUGAGUGCAGGAGAGGAAAGUGGAAUUCCUAGUGUAGCGGUGAAAUGCGUAGAUAUUAGGAGGAACAUCAGUGGCGAAGGCGACUUUCUGGACUGUAACUGACACUGAGGCACGAAAGCGUGGGGAGCAAACAGG
rnacentral:rRNA from 1 species